AGUUCCACAUGUUGUUGUUGUCUUGCUCGGACGGUCCCACCGACCUUUUCCUUGUUUUUCGGUAGAAAUUAGGUCUUUAAUUAAUGAAUGUGUGUACCAAGAAUGUGAAUAUGUUUACCUGUGUUGUCCUUUAGUUUUAAAUUCAGAUUACAGGCGUAAGCCAAAGAAAGACGGGAUACCGACAUUGUUUUCGAGCCCAGAGGAAGAAGAAAUAUCAACCAAACGGAGCCACAUCACCCCUGAACGUUAUAGAAACGAUGAGGAAGAUGUGUUUGAUGCUGACGACGAAGAGGAAAUUCGGCCAAAAAAAGUGCAGAAAAGAGAAAUCACAGAUCCUCAUCCAGGCACCACCACUGCCAGUGCUCCCACCAUUGAACUUUCCAAUCUCCAGCGAGUACCAGACCACUUCAGCCAGUACCAGCCAAUACUACACCACUCCAAGGCAUCCAGGCCGACCUCACAGCCCAGCGAGAAGCAGCACUUACAGGCUCAGUCCAGACAGGAAUCAUGCAUCUAGCUCAAGCCAGUACCAAACCACUCCAGCCAGUAUGAGUCAGUACCAGACCACUCCAAGAAGCAGCAGGAAUGCCCUUGAAAGUGAACUUUUCCAGUUAAACAUGAAAGUUCAAAAACUAGUUGAGAACCAGGGAGAAAUUAUGCGCAUGCUGAGAGGGCUGGCAGCACAGUCUGUGGGGCCAGAAGCUGUGGAUGUUCAAGAUCUCAUUGAGAAGCCUUUCGAGACUCUUGAGCAGCUAAGACCUUCAGUGAACAGCUCGACACUGAUCUUCUGCUCAGAAAGCAGCUGAUGAAAGCUCUUACUGCUCUUGGUGGGCAGAAUUUGGCAGACACAGUGAGGACAAUGCUGAGGAAAAUUGCCACAAACAAAGUCCUGGAGCAGCUUGGUCUCCGUGGAAAGACAGGCAAAGUGGCAUUUGAGGACUUGCCCUUUUACAGAAUAAUAAUAAAGGCAUGCAGGGGUGUUCACAAACAGACGACCACAGCUGAAGUAGAUUGUGAGCUUGGAGAGGUCCUGAAACUGGCCACUUUUUGAAAGGGAGGUUCAAAGUUUGAGGAGAAGAGGAGGAAUUAAGAGGAAGCGACGGCGAAGAAGGGCAAAGGGAGGUGUACAAAGGAAAUGGACAGUGAGAUGAGUGACCAGGUAAAUGAUAAAGUAAUUAUGCCAAUGUUUUAAAUCAAUUCAUGAAGAUCCCAGUUCUGUGUUGAAUUUGCAAUUAUAAACACUCGAUUGUAUUGUACAUAUGUCCCGGCAAGAAAUCUGCGUUCAAAGAACUCCGGCUUAUUAUUGAUACCCAGAGCCCAAAAAAAGUCUGCGGGCUAUAGAGCGUUUUCUAUUCAGGCUCCAGUACUAUGGAAUGCCCUCCCGGUAACAAUUAGAGAUGCUACCUCAGUAGAAGCAUUUAAGUCCCAUCUUAAAACUCAUUUGUAUACUCUAGCCUUUAAAUAGACCCCCCUUUUAGACCAGUUGAUCUGCCGUUUCUUUUUUCUCCUCUGCUCCCCUCUUCCUUGUGGAGGGGGGGGGGGGGGGGGCACAGGUCCGGUGGCCAUGGAUGAAGUGCUGGCUGUCCAGAGUCGGGACCCGUGGUGGACCGCUCGCCUGUGCAUCGGCUGGGAACAUCUCUGCGCUGCUGACCCGUCUCCGCUCGGGAUGGUGUCCUGCUGGCCCCACUAUGGACUGGACUCUUACUAUAAUGUCAGACCCACUCGACAUCCAUUGCAUUCGGUCUCCCCUAGAGGGGGGGGGGUUACCCACAUAUGCGGUCCUCUCCAAGGUUUCUCAUAGUCAUUCACAUUGACGUCCCACUGGGGUGAGUUUUCCCUUGCCCUUAUGUAGGCUUUGUACCGAGGAUGUCAUUGUGGCUUGUGCAGCCCUUUGAGACACUUGUGAUUUAGGGCUAUAUAAAUAAACAUUGCUUGAUUGAUUGAUUGAAACCCUUGCAGGAAGCGACGGCGAAGAAGGGCAAAGGGAGGUGUACAAAGGAAUAGGACAGUGAUAUGAGUGACCAGGAAGCGACGGCGAAGAAGGGCAAAGGGAGGUGUACAAAGGGAAUGGACAGUGAGAUGAGUGACCAGGAAGUGAAGAAGAAGAAAACAGGGAAAGGGAAAAGAACCAAGCAAACGCCAGUGAGACCAGUGAGCAUUGAGCAGGAAGAGAACCAACAAGAAGGGGCAGGAGUACACUUACGCGCACGACCAAGACCACAGCAUUCCAUUUCUAUUGUAUUAUAAUUAUCACUAAUAAAGAAUUAUUGUUGAAUUUUCUGUUUGUUAUAGUCCUGACAAUAUAGCACAAAAACAGACGUAAAUACCAUUGCAUUCCAUUUCUAUUGUAUUAUAAUUAUCACUAAUAAAGAAUUAUUGUUGAA